rnacentral:rRNA from 1 species
CUUAGCCCUUAACAUAGACAAUACCAACACAAUAUUGUCCGCCAGAGAACUACAAGUGAAAAACUAGAAACUCCAAGGACUUGGCGGUGCCCCACAUCAACCUAGAGGAGCCUGUCCUAUAAUCGAUAAUCCACGCUGUACCUUACCAUUUCUAGCAACUCAGCCUAUAUACCGCCGUCGAAAGCCUACCUUAUGAAAGAAACAAAGUAAGCAAAAUAGUCAACAACUAAAACGUCAGGUCAAGGUGUAGCACAUGAAAUGGAAGAGAUGGGCUACAUUUUCUACCCUAGAAAAUACGAACAGCACAAUGAAACAUGUUCUCAAAGGCGGAUUUAGCAGUAAGACAAAAAAGAAACUUUGCCUUAAACCCGCU